rnacentral:rRNA from 1 species
GAUGAACGCUGGCGGCGUGCCUAAUACAUGCAAGUCGAGCGAACAGAUAAGGAGCUUGCUCCUUUGACGUUAGCGGCGGACGGGUGAGUAACACGUGGGUAACCUACCUAUAAGACUGGGAUAACUUCGGGAAACCGGAGCUAAUACCGGAUAACAUUUGGAACCGCAUGGUUCUAAAGUGAAAGAUGGUUUUGCUAUCACUUAUAGAUGGACCCGCGCCGUAUUAGCUAGUUGGUAAGGUAACGGCUUACCAAGGCAACGAUGCGUAGCCGACCUGAGAGGGUGAUCGGCCACACUGGAACUGAGACACGGUCCAGACUCCUACGGGAGGCAGCAGUAGGGAAUCUUCCGCAAUGGGCGAAAGCCUGACGGAGCAACGCCGCGUGAGUGAUGAAGGGUUUCGGCUCGUAAAACUCUGUUAUUAGGGAAGAACAAACGUGUAAGUAACUGUGCACGUCUUGACGGUACCUAAUCAGAAAGCCACGGCUAACUACGUG